AUUGAACGCUGGCGGCAUGCUUUACACAUGCAAGUCGAACGGCAGCGCGGGCUUCGGCCUGGCGGCGAGUGGCGAACGGGUGAGUAAUGCAUCGGAACGUGCCCAGUAGUGGGGGAUAGCCCGGCGAAAGCCGGAUUAAUACCGCAUACGACCUGAGGGUGAAAGCGGGGGACCGAAAGGCUCGCGCUAUUGGAGCGGCCGAUGUCGGAUUAGCUAGUUGGUGGGGUAAAGGCUUACCAAGGCGACGAUCCGUAGCUGGUCUGAGAGGACGACCAGCCACACUGGGACUGAGACACGGCCCAGACUCCUACGGGAGGCAGCAGUGGGGAAUUUUGGACAAUGGGGGCAACCCUGAUCCAGCCAUGCCGCGUGCGGGAAGAAGGCCUUCGGGUUGUAAACCGCUUUUGUUCGGGAAGAAAUCCUCUGGGCUAAUACCCCGGGGGGAUGACGGUACCGGAAGAAUAAGCACCGGCUAACUACGUG
rnacentral:rRNA from 1 species